rnacentral:rRNA from 1 species
AGCGAACGCUGGCGGCAGGCCUAACACAUGCAAGUCGAACGAAGUCUUCGGACUUAGUGGCGGACGGGUGAGUAACACGUGGGAACGUACCUUUUGGUUCGGAACAACUCAGGGAAACUUGAGCUAAUACCGGAUGAGCCCUUAGGGGGAAAGAUUUAUCGCCGAAAGAGCGGCCCGCGUUAGAUUAGCUAGUUGGUGAGGUAAAGGCUCACCAAGGCUACGAUCUAUAGCUGGUCUGAGAGGAUGAUCAGCCACACUGGGACUGAGACACGGCCCAGACUGCAACGGUGGGCUGUAGGCGAGAAUCUUGCGCAAUGAGCGAACUCUCGACGCAACCUUACUGAUGUAAUGAUCAACCUCUUGCGAUUGUAAAACUCUUUUACCAGUUAGGAUAGUAACGGUAACGCGAGAAGAAGGCGCUGCUACCUUCCUACCAGCAGCCUCGGUAUCAC